GUAUGUUUUAUAAUAAUCUAUUAAGCCAAGGUGAAAAUAUUUCUGUUAAAAAAACUAGAAACGAUGUAAAACAUAUAUCGGAUGAUUGUGUUAAUCAACAACAGACCAAUGAUAAACCAAAUGAUAUCGAUCCAUGGGGUGGCGAAGAUUCAGAUAAUAUAUGUCUUGAAGCCCUUGAUAAAUAUAUUUGGGGUGAAGAAUACACAGAUGAUGAGAAAAUGUUGUUAAGAGCUUGUAUUGAAUCUAAUACCUAACACGUAUUACAUAUAUAUAUAUGAAAAAUAUAACUCUUGAUUAUUCUAUAACUUUAUUUUAUUUUUAUUUUUUUUUAAUCACAAAUCUUCGUCGUCGUCUGUUGAAAUAACGGGCGAAAACGUUUCAGACAUUUCGUCGUCACUCAAAUCUUCGUCAGUUGGCAUUUCUUCAUCA